GAUAGGGUGGGACGUGACUGGAUACAAAAGGGUCAGGUUUUUUUCUUGGAGCACAAGCAGACGUCACAAUGAGCCUGCGAGCAAAGGAUGAAACUUAACCUCAGAGUCCAUAAAAAAUUUACAGAAUUGCAAAGCGCCAAGCAAAAAAUAUAAAAGAGUUCUUUGCACUCUGGGAAAUUAUUGAAGCCAUAAAGAUUCCUGCUCUUGCAGAUGAGGCAGUUGCCUGUGUUUCCAUGCCUGGUCCUGAGUUCCCUCCUUCCUUCACCAGAAAUAUUCUAGGCAUCUCUAUACUGUGGAGUCCAGGCCGAACUGACCCCCGGUUUGGAGAGAAGUCCAUUCCUCUCACUUAAAACCUAUUUUCAGAAUCCUCAUUUCUUUCUUCAGGAUUGACCACUCUUAAAGAGAGCCUCUCACUUCCAACUGGGUGCAUGACAUCUGAAUUAAAGACUAUAAUUUCCAGCCUCCUUUGCAGCUGGUCAUACUCUUUGACUAAGUCCUGGCUAAUGAGAAAUGUGCAGCUAUGCCACCAAUAAGUUCAUGACUUUAAAGGAAAGGGGGAAUUUCUUUCCUACGUUCCUCUUACUAGCUGGCUGAAAGGUAGCAACACACCAUCUUGGAAAAGGUGAAUGAUGGCAAUACCCAAAGAUGGCAGAGCAACAAGAUAGAAGGAACCUGGGAUUUCUGACAGCUUGGAGCCCUCACUCACCUUAGACAGCUUACUCCUAGUCAGCUAAAUA